ensembl:lncRNA
GGAGGGCUUGAUGUUGCAUUUACUGACGGUGUCUAUUACCUCCUCCAGUGUUUCGGCACCACUGGAGAAUCCUGGCGUGUAUGUGUGGGAAGGAGGGCUCGGGAGACAGGCGGCUUUUGACAUAAUGACUUGCUCGCAUUUAUUUUUCACCAUGCUUUUCAGCACGCUUUCAAAAACUCAACACCAAGAAAACAUCUGAAAAGAGGCCAUAACUAGAUCACUACUUUCACCCUGUUCACGUUCAAAGUUCAAGUUCACGCACUCCGCGUGUGUGUGUGUGUGUGUGUCACAGGUUCCGAAAGCUAUGCCACACUCUCUCACUCUCUGGUUACAACAGAUCCUGAAAGCACAAAGAAAUGCACAUAAGUAGACUGGCAGUAAUAAGACACAGGUGACAAUCAUCACGCGUUACCUGCUGGUUCAACCUGCUUCCUUUCUGUCCGCAGCUGGUGCUACAACACAUUCCCUUUGUUUUUUAGUGUACCAUUUCAGUGUACAGAUUACAUUCCCUUUGUGUUAGUGUACCAUUCCCUUUCUAGUUGUUUUUAGUUGACAGUUUACGUUCUCCUUGUGUUUAGUGUACAUUAUACAUUCCGUUUGUUUUUAAUGUACAGUUACAUUAUAUUUGGUUUUCGCAUACAGGUUACAAUCCCCUUGUUUUUACAUCCCCUUUGUUUUUAGUGUGCAUUUUACAUUCCUUUUGUGUAUGUACAUGAAUAUUUAAUUUUAAGGGAAUCGUAUAGAAUCCUGUUUUAUUGUAGGAGUUACAUUGCUCUAAUUCAAACUGUUACUUUUAUUAUUCAUCUUUUAUAUUUCUGCAGUGUAUUUAAAGGGCUUUGGUAAGCCAGAUGUUUAAAUGUUGUUUUUUGCCUUUCUUUUCUACAGUGUACUGAUAAACUAGAGAGAGACAGACUUAUUCUCUUCCUCAAUAAGCUCAUUCUGAACAAGAAAAAUGUCAAGGACAUAAUGGACUCAAAUGGUGUACGUAUCCUAGUAGACUUGCUAACCCUAGCCCACC